GCAGGAGAAACACAGCCCAGAACCCCUACAGCACGAGCCUGGAAAGCAUCAGGAGAGGCAGCGGGCAAUCGGAGAACAAUAAAUAUGAGGACCCCGAAGCCUUCAACAGGCCGAGGGCCAGCGUUGACUCUGGGAAAGACAACAUCUAUCAGAGGAGCCUGGACGAUCUCAGUCCCAGGGAAGGCAGCAACAUCUACGACGACCCUGACGAUAAAUCUACGGCCAUGUGAACGUCCAGCAGAGAUCCUGGCAGCUCGGAGCUCCAGCUUUCUUUAAAUAAAUCAGUGUUGAAUCUUCCUGUUGUAUUACGUGAUCGUGUAAUAUUCCGGCUCUGAUGUAGAGACCAGAACCUGGUAACGCAGGGAGCUCCUUAGUUUUAUAGUUUUCCUUGUGUUUCCUCUCAGACUCCUCCUUUCCUGAUUAAUCAGUUAUCUUUAUAACCAGCUGCUGCCUCAGCUCUCCUUGCUGAUCACUGGACCCACGACCCGCUGUAAAUGAUUGACCUCAAGAGUCCACAGGAAACAGCCUCAGGAGGGAAAGCAUCUGAAGAACUGGAGCUGAAUGUGAUUUAUGAGGAAGUUAAAUGAUG